rnacentral:rRNA from 1 species
GACGUAGGGCGCGAGCGUUGUCCGGAAUUACUGGGCGUAAAGCGUGCGCAGGCGGUUCGCUAAGACCGAUGUGAAAUCCCCGGGCUUAACCUGGGAACUGCAUUGGUGACUGGCGGGCUAGAGUAUGGCAGAGGGGGGUAGAAUUCCACGUGUAGCAGUGAAAUGCGUAGAGAUGUGGAGGAAUACCGAUGGCGAAGGCAGCCCCCUGGGCCAAUACUGACGCUCAUGCACGAAAGCGUGGGGAGCAAACAGG